rnacentral:rRNA from 1 species
UACGGGGGGGGCAAGCGUUGUUCGGAAUUACUGGGCGUAAAGGGCUCGUAGGUGGCCAACUAAGUCAGACGUGAAAUCCCUCGGCUUAACCGGGGAACUGCGUCUGAUACUGGAUGGCUAGAGUUUGGGAGAGGGAUGCGGAAUUCCAGGUGUAGCGGUGAAAUGCGUAGAUAUCAGGAGGAACACCGGUGGCGAAGGCGGGUCUCUGGGCCGAUACUGACGCUGAGGAGCGAAAGCGUGGGGAGCAAACAGG